rnacentral:lncRNA from 1 species
GAAAGGAGGUCUGGGGUGGAGGCAUGUGACGGCUAUAUGGGAGAGGGCGUGAAAUAAGGUUUUUGCAUCACACAUAAUGUGCACUGGAAAGCAUCAGUACAGAAGAGGCGAUGAACAAUCAAGCCGACAAAAUGACUCAGCCAGCUGCCAUUGAUCAGGUUUUGUUACUGACCCCCUGGGACUGGCAUGAUGGGCACACGAUGGAGGCUAGUACAUGCCCAGCACAGAGAUGUCCGUUGCCAAGGCCAACCGAGUUACUUACUGCCUCUGCCUGGAGGCUCUCAGCGCUGGAGGCCAAAGUCGAGCCCCUGAUGGGUCUAGUCCUUUUCUUUAAGGACAGCCACCGGCCUGCGGGGGGUCGACGACAUUCGACCCACCCUGUCUUGGAGGGGCCAGGGUUGUUCGCAGGCACCUGCUCUUGCUGGGGCUGCCUGCCCUGCCCGAGAGCUUCAGCAGCGUCCUUGCUGGCGCUUCCCGAGGGCCUCACCCACCACGCACAAUCCCACGCGGCGAACGACACAAGGUCGUCCCCACAGCAGGUCCUUGGGCCUGGGGUCGCUUGUCGGUGGCGCCGGCCCACGGCGGGGCGGCCCAGGCAGUGCCGCCUGGGAUGAGUUGAGAGGGGCGGGUGUGGGGAUGCUGACGGCUCCCCUGGGGCCCAGGACCCCCAUCCCCCCCCCGCGGCUUCCUCCGCUGGACCUUGGAGGCCUGUGAUGGACAUCGGGUGCCUUGGAGCCCACCAGACCAUGUUUGUGCUGCCUUUGGGAAUUAAUCGAGACUUUAAUCCUCUGCUCUCUGCUCAUAGUUUCUUUUGAACUGUGGAAAAUAUCAGCCCUGUAAGAGAAUAGUUCUGAAGGGAAAACUGAAAACAGCUUAAAUUUCUCUCUGUCAAGUUUUUUCCGGGUGAGCAAUGUUUUUGACUUAAAAAUGUUCCCUUGUAAUUAUGCCUGUGUGUGUAUUCGUGCUUUUCUUUUGCUUGACUUCCAUUCUGUUCAUUCAGCAGUUAGGAACGGUGCCACAUAGGGCUCCGCUGAUGAAAGACGCCCUCGGGAUGUGCUUAGAAAGCAGGAACGCGGAGCCCCAGGAAAGAAACCACACGGGCGGUUUCCCAGUGCAGCAUUAGGCAGGGAAGAAUCGACAUUUGAGAUACCCUCCAUACCCCUGUCCUUGUUAAACACAAUAUGGACUAAAAGACAGCAAGAAAGCAACAACUACAAAAAACGAUGCUGGAUUUGGGAAUCCAUCCAACUUAAAAUCAGAUGCUGCUCAGCAUACCACAAAUGCAAGAUCCAAAGAGUGCAGUAUUUAGAGCAAAAUGUACCAGCGUUUGGGAGCUGCAAUGUCAGCGCGGCUUACCUGAUUAUUUCCCUUUCCACCCCACCUCACCAGUAUGGCCACGAAAACCAGUUCUGAAGUGAUUAAAAGCUGAUGUUCUGAGCAUUUAGUAACAUCCCGUGACUAACAAGGUUCUCCACUAUACCACAAAAGCAGAAGGCAGAGAGCACUAAACUGUAGUUUUCAAUAAAGGUAAUGUUUGCUCACA